rnacentral:lncRNA from 1 species
GUGGUGGUUGUGAGACAAAAAGGAGGAGAUGGUCACAUAGACUCGGCGUAUAAAAGGGCUAUGGAGAUGUCCAUUAAUAGAUAUCAAUGUGAAUGAGUAGGGAUUGCCAUACAAAGGAUGCACUAGAGCUAUAAGUAUGUGAAAGCUCAAAAGUAGAACUAGUGGGUGUGCAUCCAACUUGCUUGCUCACGAAGACCUAGGGAAAUUUGAGGAAGCCCAUCAUUGCAAUAUACAAGCCAAGUUAUAUAAUGAAGAUUCCCACUAGCAUAUGGUAGUGAUGAAAUGAGAGGCUCUCAAACAUGAAGAAAUGGUGCUAUUACGAAGCACAAGUAUGGAAAAAGAUAGUAGCAUUGUCCCUUCUCUCUUCUUCUCUCUUUUUUUAUUUUAUUUAAAUUUUUAUUUAGGCUCUUAGGCCUCCAUUUUUUCUCCCUUUUUUUUAUUUGGGCUCUUUGGCCUCUUUUUUUAUUUCCUCACAUGGGACAAUGCUCUAAUAAUGAUGAUCAUCACACUUCUAUUUACUCACACCUCAAAGCUUAGAAAUGACUCUAUAGGAAAUGCCUCCGGUUGUGUACCGGGAUGUGCAACGAUCUAGCUUGGCGUAUGACGUUGAAACAUCUUGCUAGCUAUCUUACGAUCAUGCAAUGGCAAUAUGAGAGUGACGACACAAGUCAUGAGACAGAACGAUGGCAGUUGCAUGGCAAUAUAUCUCGGAAUGGCUAUGAAAAUGCCAUAGUAGGUAGGUAUGGUGGCUGUUUUGAGGAAGGCAUAUGGUGUGUUUAUGUAUCGGCGAAAAUUGCGCGGCACUAGAGAGGUUAGCAAUGUGGAAGGUGAAAGUGCAUCUAUACCAUGGACUCACAUUAGUCAUGAAGAACUCACAUACUUGUUGCGAAAGUUUUUAUUAGUAAUCGAAACAAAGUGCUAAACGCAUUCUCCGAGGGGAAGGGUUGGUAGGUGUUAACCAUCGCGCGAUCCCGACCUCAACACAAAGAAUGACAAUCAAUAGCUCAAUUAUGAUCCGACUUCUAACAUAGCGGUUCACCAUACGUGCAUGCUACGGGAAUCACUAACUUCAACACAAGUAUUUCUAGAUUCACAACACCCUACUAACAUAGCUCUUAAUAUUACCAAAUCCACGUCUCAAAACUAAUUGAGAGGAAUCAACACUUCUCUUUCUACUCAAUGCACAUGAAGAUGGAGUUUUUUGUAUCCUCUUUGGGUACCUAUCACCUUUGGGACUACUUUCAUAGCAUAAGCCAACUACCAAGUCACGCACCGCAGUGCUUUAAAAGAUCUAAGUGAAGCACAAAGAGAAAAAUUAUCUAGCUCGAAAUAUAUAAGUGAAGCACGAUGAGCAUUCUAGCAAAAUCAUGAUGAGUGCAUGUCUCUCACUAAAGGUGUGCAGCAAGGAUGAUUGUGACACAACAAAAAUAAAAGAGUCCUAAGAUAUAAGACGCUCCAAGCAAAACACAUAACAUGUGGUGAAUAAAAAUAUAGCUCCAAGUAAUGUUACCGAUGGAUUGAAGACGAAAGAGGGAUGCCUUCCCGGGGCAUCCCCAAGCUUAGGGUUUUUGGUGUCCUUGAAUUUGGCUUGGGAUGCCUUGGUAAUCCCCAAGCUUGAGCUCUUUCCACUCCUUAUCUCUUUGGCCAUGAUAACAUCACCCAAAACUUAAAAACUUCACAACACAAAACUUAAACAGAAACUCGUGAGAACAAUAGCACAAGAAAACAAACUACCACCUCCUUAGGUACUGUAGCAAUCUUGAUUUCUAUUUGUAUUGGUGUUGGGAUACUGUAUUCUCACUUUUCCAUGGCUAGUACCCCCCUAUAAUAUCCAUAG